GCAGUCGAACGCGAACGUUUCCUUCGGGGAACUAGUAGAGUGGCGCACGGGUGAGUAACGCGUAAGUAAUCUACCAUCGCAUUCGGGAUAACCCACCGAAAGGUGUGCUAAUACCGGAUACGUCUCAUUUAAUAUCUUUUGAUGAGAGAAAGGUGGCCUCUUGAAUCAAAGCUACUGUGCGGGGAGGAGCUUGCGUACCAUUAGCUAGUUGGUAGGGUAACGGCCUACCAAGGCGAUGAUGGUUAGCGGGUCUGAGAGGAUGAUCCGCCACACUGGAACUGGAACACGGACCAGACUCCUACGGGAGGCAGCAGUGAGGAAUAUUGCGCAAUGGGGGCAACCCUGACGCAGCGACGCCGCGUGGAUGAUGAAGGCCUUCGGGUUGUAAAAUCCUGUCAGAUGGGAAGAAGUGUGUAUCACCCAAUACGUGAUACAUUUGACGGUACCAUCAAAGGAAGCACCGGCUAACUCCGUGCCAGCAGCCGCGGUAAUACGGAGGGUGCAAGCGUUGUUCGGAAUUACUGGGCGUAAAGCGCGCGUAGGCGGCUAGAUAAGUCAGAUGUGAAAGCCCGCGGCUCAACCGUGGAAGAGCAUUUGAAACUGUCUAGCUUGAGUACUGGAGGGGGUAGUGGAAUUCCCGGUGUAGAGGUGAAAUUCGUAGAUAUCGGGAGGAAUACCGGUGGCGAAGGCGACUACCCGGCCAGAUACUGACGCUGAGGUGCGAAAGCGUGGGGAGCAAACAGGAUUAGAUACCCUGGUAGGUCCACGCCGUAAACGAUGUCAACUAGGUGUUGGG
rnacentral:rRNA from 1 species